AGAGUUAACUCAAAAUGGACUA
rnacentral:miRNA from 1 species